AUCUCUUCUGGUUCACAAGCAUGAUAACUGGGUGUUCGCACGUCGUGUGACAGGUGCCUCCCUGAAGUCUCAUUACAUACUUGGUACAUUACCCAUCUGAUG